rnacentral:rRNA from 1 species
AUCAACCGCUGGCGGCGUGCCUAACACAUGCAAGGUCGAACGGGAAAGGAAAACGGGGGCAACUCCGUGAGUAUAGUGGCGUACGGGGUGAGUAACACGUGACUACCUACCUUUGAGUGGGGGGAUAAACCCCGGGAAACCGGGGGCUAAUACCGCCAUAACAUCGCAAAGAUCAAAGAAGCAAAUUCGCUUAAAGAGGGGGGUCGCGGCUGAUUAGCUAGUUGGUAGGGUAAUGGCCUACCAAGGCGAUGAUCGGUAGCCGGGCCUGAGAGGGCGCACGGCCACACUGGAACUGAAACACGGUCCAGACUCCUACGGGAAGGCAGCAGUGGGGAAUUUUGCGCAAUGGGGGAAACCCUGACGCAGCAACCGCCGCGUGGAGGAUGAAGUCCCUUGGGACGUAAAACUCCUUUCGACCGGGACGAUUUAUGACGGUACCGGUGGAAGAAGCCCCGGCUAACUUCGUGCCAGCAAGCCGCGGGUAAUACGAGGGGGGCAAGCGUUGUUCGGAAUUAUUGGGGCGUAAAAGGGCGCGUAGGCGGUGCGGUAAGUCACCUUGUGAAAACUCUGGGCUCAACUCAGAGCCUGCAGGCGAAACUGCCGUGCUUGAGUGUGGGGAGAGGUGCGUGGAAUUCCCGGUGUAUGUAGCGGUGAAAUGCGUAGUAGAUAUCGGGAGGAAACACCUGUGGCGGGAAAGCGGGCGCACUGGACCACAACUGACGCUGAGGGCGCGAAAAGCUAGGGGAGCAAACAGGAUUUAGAUACCCUGGUAAGUCCUAGCCCCUAAACUAUGGAUGCUUUGGUGUGUCGGGUACCCAAUCCCGACGUGCCGCAGCUAACGCGUGGUAAGCAUCCCGGCCUGGGGAAGUACGGUCGCAAGGGCCUGAAACUCAAAAGGAAAUUGACGGGGGCCCGCACAAGCGGUGGAGGCAUGGUGGUUUCAAUUCGACGCAACGCGAAGAACCUUACCUGGGCUCGAAGCGCAGUGGACCGGGGUGGGAAACAUCCCUUUUCCGCAAGGGACUGCUGCGGGAGGUGCUGCAUGGGCUGUCGUCAGCUCGUGUCGUGAGAUGUUGUGGGUUUAAGUCCCGCAACGAGCGCAACCCUUAUCGUUAGUUGCCAUCAGGUCAAGCUGGGCACUCUAGCGAAACCCGCCUCGGAUAACGGGGAGGAAGGUGGGGAUGACGUCAAGUCCUCAUGGCCUUUAUGUCCAGGGGCUACACACGUGCUACAAUGGUCGGUACAAACCGUCGCAAACCCCGCGAGGGGGAGCUAAUCGGAAAAAGCCGGCCUCAGUUCGGAUUGGAGUCUGCAACUCGACUCCAUGAAGCUGGAAUCGCUAGUAAUCGCAGAUCAGAACGCUGGCGGGUGAAUACGUUUCCCGGGGGCCUUUGUACACACCGGCCCGUCCACAUCACGAAAGUGGGGUGAUACUAGAAGCCGUCCCGCCAACCCGCAAGGGGGGCAGGGACGUCCAAGGUAUGACUCAUGAUUGGGGUG